CCCCCCCCCCCCCCCCCCCCCCCCCCCCCCCCCCCCCCCCCCCCCCCCCCCCCCCCUGGUUUUUUUUUUUUUUUUUUUUUUUUUUUUUUUUUUUUUUUUUUCUUGCAGUGAUUUGGAGCACUUGGGAUAUAACCUGGCUGUCAAAGCAAGCUGGAGCUGUCAACACUUGGGACAUGCAGGGCAGGGGAGUGCCUCUAAACCAUCUCAGCAGGUGUGAUACUGUCCUGCACCCAUCAGUUUGCAGAUCUGUCUUUUUCUCCGGGACCUCGUGGGAAGAGAGGCUCCCUUGUGACAGGCUCUCCUGCAGAGAUUCGUGACUCUGAGGGAGCAGCAGUCUGUGCAGGGACACUGGGUGUGCACUCACCUGCCUUCCCGUGUGACAAGUCUCAGCCCCUGAUGUCCAGGGUGGAGGAUGUGAAAGGCCUACCCUUCUUAUUUUGGGUCCUCCCUUUGUCUUUCUCCGAGCAAAGGAUGUGUACCAGGAGCUGCUCCCCACGGUAGUGGAAUCUAAAUAAUCCCUCUAAUCAGAAUUCUGGCUCCCCUCCCAACACACACACACCUGGAGGGUUGGGUGCAGAGGUUUCGGGGCAAGAUAAGAUGCGGCUCUGUCAAUCAGAAACACUGUGAGCAGCAUCCAGGCUGCUUUUGUGGGGCUGUUGAGCAUUUCAUGUCCCUUCCCGUGGUUGUUCCCGGGCUCUUUGUGCAGGGGGAAGGCACCUGGCUCUCGAGGCUGCCAUCCACAGACCAGCCCGAGCACGAGCACACACCUGCCUGCAGCUGGACCAUCGUCAGGCAGGGCAGCUGCUGCCAAAGGAGGUUUCUUCAGGAUCACAGCAGGAAACAGUCUGCCUGAAUAGAAAC
rnacentral:lncRNA from 12 species